rnacentral:misc_RNA from 1 species
GAAAUGCGAUACGUAGUGUGAAUUGCAGAAUUCAGUGAAUCAUCGAAUCUUUGAACGCACAUUGCGCCCUUUGGUAUUCCAAAGGGCAUGCCUGUUCGAGCGUCAUUUGUACCCUCAAGCUUUGCUUGGUGUUGGGCGUGUUUGUCUUGCAAAAGACUCGCCUUAAAACGAUUGGCAGCCGGCCUACUGGUUUCGGAGCGCAGCACAUUUUUGCGCUUUCAAUCAGCAAAAGAGGACGGCAAUCCAUCAAGUACAUUUCUCACUUUUGACCUCGGAUCAGGUAGGGAUACCCGCUGAACUUAAGC